GGAGCUGUGGUGUAGUGGUUUAACACGCCGGCCUGUCAAGCCGGAGAUCGCGGGUUCGAGUCCCGUCAGCUCCGCCA
rnacentral:tRNA from 1 species